rnacentral:lncRNA from 1 species
AUAGUACUAUACAAAUCCUUGGGAAAAGUAAUCUCAUAAUACAAUAAUUAAACGUAAUACUGGCUGUUAUUCAUAAUAGAUGAUAAAAUAUUAUGUAAAUAAUGUUUCAUUUUUUUCUAUCAAUUUUAACUUUCUUGUCGCUAAAAUUAUUUUCUUUUGUAUAUUCUUUUAAUAUUUAUUGCAAUAAUUUAUUUUAAUUAAAAAAAAAUGUUUUCUUGUCGCUAAAUAGUUUCUUGUCGCUUGUUGUCGCUAAAAUAAUUCUUGUUGUCGCUUCUUGUCGCUUGUUGACGCUUGUUGUCGCUAAAAUUGUUGUUGUCGCUAAUUAGUGAGACCGA